rnacentral:rRNA from 1 species
GACGAACGCUGGCGGCGUGCCUAAUACAUGCAAGUAGAACGCUGAAGGCGGAGCUUGCUUCUCUGGAUGAGUUGCGAACGGGUGAGUAACGCGUAGGUAACCUGCCUGGUAGCGGGGGAUAACUAUUGGAAACGAUAGCUAAUACCGCAUAAUAGUAGCUGUUGCAUGACAUUUGCUUAAAAGGUGCAAUUGCAUCACUACCAGAUGGACCUGCGUUGUAUUAGCUAGUUGGUGGGGUAACGGCUCACCAAGGCGACGAUCCAUAGCCGACCGGAGAGGGUGGUCAGCCGGACUGGGACGGAGACACGGCCCAGACGGCUACAGGAGGCAGCAGUAGUGAUACUGCAGCAAUGGACGGAAGUCUGACCGAGCAACGCCGCGGGAGUGAGGAAGGUUGUCGGAUCGUAGAGCUCUGUUGUAAGAGUAGAACGAGUGUGAGAGUGGAAAGUUCACUCAGUGACGGUAACUUACCAGAAAGGGACGGCUAACUACGUG